CGGCUUUACAUGCGAUGGAUCGGAAACCUUCAAGGUACACCCAGAAGGCAAAGAAGAAGUCGCAUGCGUCAGGAGGACCAUGGAGAGCGCCGAGGAAGCCGAGUGGCUCUGCUCCUGGACAGCAGGCGGCAGAGAGGCUGUACAUGACUCAUGGCCAAGCAGCCCAGGACCCCGAAGUUCACAGGGUCUGUGAGUGUGUCUGCCUCAGACUCUUAAAAGAGUUUGAGCAGUCACGCAACAGGCCAAAGGACACAAAGGGGAAAACAAUGCCCAUCCCUCAGUCCAUCGUAAGCGUGUACAGCCACAU